CCCGAGUAGAACAGGCACAUGAAUCAUGGUGGAACAACAGCUGAACUUAGAUGGGAUGAGGACACCAGGAAUGCUUGGUAGCCUUUCCAGGCCACCUUGCUACCUUGGUCUGUGACUUGUUCCACUAAAACUCUGAUGGAGAAAUGUAUUCACUUCCUGACUGCUCACUACCUGUCUGCCUUCUGUGUGCCAAACUAGCCACCUACCCUCAAUGUCUGCUGCACUGGGAAGCUGCAGUGGUUAGAGGCUGUGAUCUCACUGAUUCCAAGGAAAUAGAGCAACAGCAUCAUCUUCCAAAGAGAUGGCAGUGAGCCAGGCCAGUUUCACUCAGAAAUUUCUCCUGCUGAUGUAUGCAGAGCUGUCAAAAUCCUUGCUAGCAGCCAUAGAGUCAGCCAGGCAUCACUGUUUCUUCACGCAGGAGAAGUUCAUCAUGGUGUCCUUCACAGAAAAAGGAAGUGGGAGAGGACCCUGCACAAUCCUGGAAAGCUGUAUGACACUGCUCCCCAAAACUUCAACAGAAACUGCAAGAUAAUACCAAAGAAACAACAAAAGAACCCAGAAAAACCCUAAACAACUCUAUACAGACUUUUGUCUGACAGGUAGCUUGGAAUCCAUGUCCCUGUAUGGUCUUCUCUGUCACACAAGGCUGCUGUAUGUCAC